rnacentral:rRNA from 1 species
GAUGAACGCUGACGGCGUGCCUAAUACAUGCAAGUCGAGCGAACAGACGAGGAGCUUGCUCCUCUGACGUUAGCGGCGGACGGGUGAGUAACACGUGGAUAACCUACCUAUAAGACUGGGAUAACUUCGGGAAACCGGAGCUAAUACCGGAUAAUAUAUUGAACCGCAUGGUUCAAUAGUGAAAGACGGUUUUGCUGUCACUUAUAGAUGGAUCCGCGCCGCAUUAGCUAGUUGGUAAGGUAACGGCUUACCAAGGCGACGAUGCGUAGCCGACCUGAGAGGGUGAUCGGCCACACUGGAACUGAGAAACGGUCCAGACUCCUACGGGAGGCAGCAGUAGGGAAUCUUCCGCAAUGGGCGAAAGCCUGACGGAGCAACGCCGCGUGAGUGAUGAAGGUCUUCGGAUCGUAAAACUCUGUUAUUAGGGAAGAACAAAUGUGUAAGUAACUAUGCACGUCUUGACGGUACCUAAUCAGAAAGCCACGGCUAACUACGUG